rnacentral:rRNA from 1 species
UGGGGAAUAUUGGACAAUGGGCGCAAGCCUGAUCCAGCCAUGCCGCGUGAGUGAUGAAGGCCCUAGGGUUGUAAAGCUCUUUUGUGCGGGAAGAUAAUGACGGUACCGCAAGAAUAAGCCCCGGCUAACUUCGUGCCAGCAGCCGCGGUAAUACGAAGGGGGCUAGCGUUGCUCGGAAUCACUGGGCGUAAAGGGUGCGUAGGCGGGUCUUUAAGUCAGGGGUGAAAUCCUGGAGCUCAACUCCAGAACUGCCUUUGAUACUGAGGAUCUUGAGUUCGGGAGAGGUGAGUGGAACUGCGAGUGUAGAGGUGAAAUUCGUAGAUAUUCGCAAGAACACCAGUGGCGAAGGCGGCUCACUGGCCCGAUACUGAC